UAUGGCUUUUUAUUCCUAUGUGAUUGGGAUACAGUGCACAUAGGGAGGGAAGCCAUGGA
rnacentral:pre_miRNA from 1 species